GCUCAAAUUUGAAAUCUGGCCCCAGGCCCGAGUUGUAAUUUGCAGAGGAUGCUUUUGGCGCGGUGCCUUCCGAGUUCCCUGGAACGGGACGCCAUAGAGGGUGAGAGCCCCGUACGGUUGGACACCAAGCCUUUGUAAAGCUCCUUCGACGAGUCGAGUAGUUUGGGAAUGCUGCUCUAAAUGGGAGGUACAUUUCUUCUAAAGCUAAAUAUUGGCCAGAGACCGAUAGCGCACAAGUAGAGUGAUCGAAAGAUGAAAAGCACUUUGAAAAGAGGGUUAAACAGCACGUGAAAUUGUUAAAAGGGAAGCGCUUGUGACCAGACUUGCGUCCGGUGAAUCACCCAGCUCUCGCGGCUGGGGCACUUCGCCGGCACAGGCCAGCAUCAGCUUGCCGUCGGGGACAAAAGCUUCAGGAACGUAGCUCCUCUCGGGGAGUGUUAUAGCCUGUUGUAUAAUACCCUUCGGCGGGCUGAGGUACGCGCUCCGCAAGGAUGCUGGCGUAAUGGUCAUCAGCGACCCGUCUUGAAACACGGACCAAGGAGUCAACCUUAUGUGCGAGUGUUUGGGUGUUAAACCCCUACGCGUAAUGAAAGUGAACGCAGGUGAGAGCUUCGGCGCAUCAUCGACCGAUCCUGAUGUUCUCGGAUGGAUUUGAGUAAGAGCAUAUAGGGUUGGACCCGAAAGAAGGUGAACUAUGCGUGUGUAGGGUGAAGCCAGAGGAAACUCUGGUGGAGGCUCGCAGCGGUUCUGACGUG
rnacentral:rRNA from 1 species